AGGGAAUCGGAUCCAGGUUGAGGAGGGCCCGGGAAGCAAUCGAAUCCGUGCUGAGGGAUGUCGGGCCGAGAAGGGCUGAGGAGGGUACUGCAGUUCGGGCGGGAAGGCUGAGAGAGAGCAAGAAGGCACAAGCGAGCAAGGGACAGAGAAAGAGAAGAGGAGCUCUCCAGAAGCAGGGUUCGAGCUCAUCCGAAGCAGGGUUCGUGCUCACCUGAAGCGGGGCUUGAGCUCACCCAAAGCAGGGCUCAAGCUCACCCUAUGCGGGACUUGAACUCACGAACCAUGAGAUCAUGACCUGAGCCAAAGUCAGAUACCUAACCGACUGAGCCACCCAGAUGCCUAUCUUGUAACAAUUCUUAAAUUAAAAUGUAUUUUGAUUGAUUUAGUAAAGGAACACCUUCUACCUUUUA